CAACCGCUUCCAAGACCUCACUGCUUGCAAGGAGCACUGCAGUCCAUGAAAAGGGAGAAAACACACAAUCCAAAGCAAAGGUCGUCGGAUCACUUUCCGGCAGGCGUAAACGUCUGACGCUCAGGGAUUUUCACUGUUUUAUGCCAAAAAGCUUGACGAGCUCUUCUUUGUUGUUCCUAGAAGAGUCAUAGUAGCACAUACACACCUUUCUACUGUAUUUGUAUGCAAGGCUUCACAAGCUCCUGAAAAAAAUGCGAUUUCAAUGAAGUUUGUUACUGCUCUAAUGUUCCUGAUUGUGUGUUUUGAUACUGUAUGUGUGUAAUAUAUGUGUUGUAUUAUUUGUACUUUCAUGGUGCUGAUAGUGUUGUUUGAGUAAUUAACUCAAAAUGUGCUGCUUAAAACUUCUUCAACCAAAGCAGUGUUGCAUAUAACCUUCAUAGGUGUCUUUAUUUGUUUUACCAAAGCUCAACAGCACUGCAACAACAAAAUAAAAGAAACAGGUUUGACUUGUUACUUCACUUUCUCACAGUCA